rnacentral:rRNA from 1 species
AGUGAACGCUGGCGGCAGGCCUAAUACAUGCAAGUCGAACGGCAGCACAGUGGAGCUUGCUCCAUGGGUGGCGAGUGGCGGACGGGUGAGGAAUACAUGGGAAUCUGCCCAGUCGUGGGGGAUAACGUAUGGAAACGUACGCUAAUACCGCAUGCGCCCUACGGGGGAAAGUCGGGGACCGCAAGGCCUGACGCGAUUGGAUGAGCCCAUGUUCGAUUAGCUGGUUGGCGGGGUAAAGGCCCACCAAGGCGACGAUCGAUAGCUGGUCUGAGAGGAUGAUCAGCCACACUGGAACUGAGACACGGUCCAGACUCCUACGGGAGGCAGCAGUGGGGAAUUUUGGACAAUGGGCGCAAGCCUGAUCCAGCCAUGCCGCGUGAGUGAUGAAGGCC